rnacentral:rRNA from 1 species
UACGUAGGUGGCGAGCGUUGUCCGGAAUUACUGGGUGUAAAGGGCGUGUAGGCGGGAAUGCAAGUCAGAUGUGAAAUACCGCAGCUUAACUGCGGGGCUGCAUCUGAAACUGUGUUUCUUGAGUGUCGGAGAGGAAAGUGGAAUUCCUAGUGUAGCGGUGAAAUGCGUAGAUAUUAGGAGGAACACCAGUGGCGAAGGCGACUUUCUGGACGAUAACUGACGCUGAGGCGCGAAAGCGUGGGGAGCAAACAGGAUUAGAUACCCUGGUAGUCCACGCUGUAAACGAUGGAUACUAGGUGUGGGAGGUAUCGACCCCUUCCGUGCCGCAGUUAACACAAUAAGUAUCCCACCUGGGGAGUACGGCCGCAAGGUUGAA